GUGGUGGUGGAGGAGGAGGAGGCAGGGGGUGGAGAGAAAGAAAGCGCACGCCGAGAGGAGGUGUGGGUGUUUCUCUCCCAUCCUAACAGAACGAGCUCCCUCUUCGCGGAUAUGGGAUUGCCCAGCGGCUGCUAACCCCUCUGCUGGUCCUGCUCCCCCAAACCGGCGUGGCUCCCCGGUCACCAAGGAGCUGACUGCAAGGGAGCAGGAUUCGCAUCCUUGGCUGGGCGAGCUUUGACUACAGAGUGCCUGACCUGGGUCAGCCUUCUCCGUUUCAGGUAAAUGGAAAGACAGGCCUGUUCACCAGGCAGAAUUCUGACUGAGAGGGAGAGGGAGGAAGAGAGAGAGAGAGAAAGAGAAAGUUUGAGAACACUUUUAUGGCCUUGGACCUAGAGGCAGAAAGAGACCACAAGCUACCUGUGCGCCCAGGGGUCGUGUAGUCACAUGAAGAAACAAGUGCAGCUGCAUUUUAACCUGCUGUCCAUAGACACCGGAGGAAUUGAUGUUUGAGGACCUCUCAACACAGAACAUCUGCACUGCUGGGUGUAAAGUUUCUCAUCAGAAAAACCUGAGCGAAGGAAAACAACACCAGCCUCCAAGUAAUCUAGAGGAGUUGCUGUAGAGGGAGAAAGGCUCAAGUCCUAUUAAGGAAGAGCUGUUCAGAGCGCCUGUAAUUUCAUGCAUUUCAGAUGCAAGUAGGAAAGGCUGGGGCAUAUACUUCAGUGGAAGAGCACUGGCCUAUCUUGUGCAAACCUCUAGAUUGAAUCCUCAGCUAAACAGACAAAGAAGGAAACAAUUACAUAUAAGCUGAACUCUCUUCUAACCGGCAGCAGGCUUUGGGAUCCACUCUGUCUCCCUGGACCCUUCACUGUGGUCAACUCAGAUGUCUGUCUUGAAGGCCCUAUGGGAUUGUUACAUAUAAUCUACUGAUCAGAACUGCUGACCCGAGAGAUAAUGGGGUGGCUCUGAGGGUAAAGAUGCCCCUGCCAAGCCUGACAACCUCAGUUCCACGUGGUGGAAUGAGAAAACUGACUCCUGCAAGUGGUCCUCUCCCUUCAGACACUGUGGUAAUUCAUGUCCUCCUC